rnacentral:rRNA from 1 species
GACGAACGCUGGCGGCGUGCUUAACACAUGCAAGUCGAACGGAAAGGCCCUGCUUUUGUGGGGUGCUCGAGUGGCGAACGGGUGAGUAACACGUGAGUAAACUGCCCUUGACUUUGGGAUAACUUCAGGAAACUGGGGCUCAUACCGGAUAGGAGCUCCUGCUGCAUGGUGGGGGUUGGAAAGUUUCGGCGGUUGGGGAUGGACUCGCGGCUUAUCAGCUUGUUGGUGGGGUAGUGGCUUACCAAGGCUUUGACGGGUAGCCGGCCUGAGCGGGUGAACGGGCACAAUGGGACUGAGAUACGGACCAGACGCCUACGGGAGGCAGCAGUGGGGAGUAUUGCGCAAUGGGCGGGAGCCAGAUGCAGCGACGCCGCGUUCGGAAUGACGGCCUUCUGGUUGUAAACCGCUUUCGCCUGAGAUGAAGCGUGAUUGACGGUAAUGGGUAAAGAAGCACCGGCUAACUACGUG